rnacentral:rRNA from 1 species
CCUACGGGUGGCAGCAGUCGAGAAUUUUUCUCAAUGGGGGAAACCCUGAAGGAGCGACGCCGCGUGAAGGAUGAAGGUCUUCGGAUUGUAAACUUCUGUCAUUUGAGAACUAGUAUCAGAAGAGGAAGAGACGGCUAACUCUGUGCCAGCAGCCGCGGUAAUACAGAGGUCUCGAGCGUUGUUCGGAUUCAUUGGGCGUAAAGGGUGCGUAGGUGGCUAGGUAAGUCGGAUGUGAAAUCCCGGGGCUCAACCCCGGAACUGCAUUCGAUACUGCCUGGCUAGAGUACUGGAGAGGAGAUUGGAAUUUACGGUGUAGCAGUGAAAUGCGUAGAUAUCGUAAGGAAGACCAGUGGCGAAGGCGGAUCUCUGGACAGUACUGACACUGAGGCACGAAGGCCAGGGGAGCAAACGGGAUUAGAUACCCUUGUAGUC